GUGCCAGCCGCCGCGGUAAUACGGAGGGUGCAAGCGUUAAUCGGAAUUACUGGGCGUAAAGCGCACGCAGGCGGUCUGACAAGUCGGAUGUGAAAUCCCCGGGCUCAACCCGGGAACUGCAUUCGAAACUGUCAGGCUGGAGUCUUGUAGAGGGGGGUAGAAUUCCAGGUGUAGCGGUGAAAUGCGUAGAGAUCUGGAGGAAUACCGGUGGCGAAGGCGGCCCCCUGGACAAAGACUGACGCUCAGGUGCGAAAGCGUGGGGAGCAAACAGGAUUAGAUACCCUGGUAGUCCACGCUGUAAACGAUGUCGACUUGGAGGUUGUGCCCUUGAGGCGUGGCUUCCGGAGCUAACGCGUUAAGUCGACCGCCUGGGGAGUACGGCCGCAAGGUUAAAACUCAAAUGAAUUGACGGGGCCGCACAAGCGGUGAGCAUGUGGUUUAAUUCGAUGCAACGCGAAGAACCUUACCUGGUCUUGACAUCCACGGAAGUUUUCAGAGAUGAGAAUGUGCCUUCGGGAACCGUGAGACAGGUG
rnacentral:rRNA from 1 species